UUUUUAUGAGAGUUUGAUCCUGGCUCAGGAUGAACGCUGGCGGCGUGCUUAACACAUGCAAGUCGAACGAAGCAUUUAAAACAGAUUAUUUCGGUAUGAAGUUUUUUAUGACUGAGUGGCGGACGGGUGAGUAACGCGUGGGUAA
rnacentral:rRNA from 1 species